AACGAACGCUGGCGGCAGGCUUAACACAUGCAAGUCGAGCGCCCCGCAAGGGGAGCGGCAGACGGGUGAGUAACGCGUGGGAACGUACCCUUUGCUACGGAAUAGCUCCGGGAAACUGGAAUUAAUACCGUAUGUGCCCUACGGGGGAAAGAUUUAUCGGCAAAGGAUCGGCCCGCGUUGGAUUAGCUAGUUGGUGGGGUAAUGGCCUACCAAGGCGACGAUCCAUAGCUGGUCUGGGAGGAUGAUCAGCCUCACUGGGACUGAGACACGGCCCAGACUCCUACGGGAGGCAGCAGUGGGGAAUAUUGGACAAUGGGCGCAAGCCUGAUCCAGCCAUGCCGCGUGGAUGAUGAAGGCCCUAGGGUUGUAAAGUCCUUUCGGCGGGGAAGAUAAUGACGGUACCCGCAGAAGAAGCCCCGGCUAACUUCGUGCCAGCAGCCGCCGUAAGAC
rnacentral:rRNA from 1 species